rnacentral:tRNA from 1 species
GGGUAUUUAGCUCAGUGGUAGAGCGCUUGCCUAGCAAGCACAAGGCCCUGGGUUCGGUCCCCAGCUCU